rnacentral:rRNA from 1 species
GAUGAACGCUAGCGGCAGGCUUAACACAUGCAAGUCGAGGGGUAGUUUACUUCGGUAAAUGAGACCGGCGCACGGGUGCGUAACGCGUAUACAAUCUACCUUUUACAGAGGGAUAGCCCAGAGAAAUUUGGAUUAAUACCUCAUAGUAUUUUUGAAUGGCAUCAUUUGAUUAUUAAAGUUCCAACGGUAAAAGAUGAGUAUGCGUCCCAUUAGCUAGAUGGUAAGGUAACGGCUUACCAUGGCAACGAUGGGUAGGGGUCCUGAGAGGGAGAUCCCCCACACUGGUACUGAGACACGGACCAGACUCCUACGGGAGGCAGCAGUGAGGAAUAUUGGACAAUGGGCGCAAGCCUGAUCCAGCCAUGCCGCGUGCAGGAAGAAGGUCCUAUGGAUUGUAAACUGCUUUUAUACAGGAAGAAACACACCCUCGUGAGGGUACUUGACGGUACUGUAUGAAUAAGGACCGGCUGACUCCGUGCCAGCAGCCGCGGUAAUACGGAGGGUCCAAGCGUUAUCCGGAAUCAUUGGGUUUAAAGGGUCCGUAGGCGGUUUAAUAAGUCAGUGGUGAAAGCCCAUCGCUCAACGAUGGAACGGCCAUUGAUACUGUUAAACUUGAAUUAUUAGGAAGUAACUAGAAUAUGUAGUGUAGCGGUGAAAUGCUUAGAGAUUACAUGGAAUACCAAUUGCGAAGGCAGGUUACUACUAAUAUAUUGACGCUGAUGGACGAAAGCGUGGGGAGCGAACAGGAUUAGAUACCCUGGUAGUCCACGCCGUAAACGAUGGAUACUAGCUGUUCGGAGCAAUCUGAGUGGCUAAGCGAAAGUGAUAAGUAUCCCACCUGGGGAGUACGUUCGCAAGAAUGAAACUCAAAGGAAUUGACGGGGGCCCGCACAAGCGGUGGAGCAUGUGGUUUAAUUCGAUGAUACGCGAGGAACCUUACCAAGGCUUAAAUGGGAAACGACAGGUUUGGAAACAGACUUUUCUUCGGACGUUUUUCAAGGUGCUGCAUGGUUGUCGUCAGCUCGUGCCGUGAGGUGUCAGGUUAAGUCCUAUAACGAGCGCAACCCCUGUCGUUAGUUGCCAGCGAGUCAUGUCGGGAACUCUAACGAGACUGCCAGUGUAAACUGUGAGGAAGGUGGGGAUGACGUCAAAUCAUCACGGCCCUUACGCCUUGGGCCACACACGUGCUACAAUGGCCAGUACAGAGAGCAGCCACUUAGUGAUAAGGAGCGAAUCUUCAAAACUGGUCUCAGUUCGGAUCGGAGUCUGCAGCUCGACUCCGUGAAGCUGGAAUCGCUAGUAACUCGGAUAUCAGCCAUGAUCCGGUGAAUACGUUCCCGGGCCU